UACGUAGGGGGCAAGCGUUGUCCGGAUUUAUUGGGCGUAAAGCGCGUGUAGGCGGCCACGCAGGUCCGCUGUGAAAACUCGAGGCUCAACCUCGAGCUGUCGGUGGAAACCGCGUGGCUAGAGUCCGGAAGAGGGGACUGGAAUUCCCGGUGUAGCGGUGGAAUGCGCAGAUAUCAGGAGGAACACCGGUGGCGAAGGCGGGUCUCUGGGCAGUAACUGACGCUGAGGAGCGAAAGCGUGGGGAGCGAACAGG
rnacentral:rRNA from 1 species